UUCUCUCUCCUUCUAGACCCUUCGAAGCCUCCUCGCCUCCCCGUCUGGUAUACAAAUCCUUGAAUACUAACAUGCAUUUGAGCAAAGAGACUCCCUUGGCGAGGUUUGAAGAGUUUGAAAACCAUCCGGCUGAUCGAGAGAAUCAUUGUCCAGGACGGUGACCCUUCGAAGACUAUCAAGGUCCCUAAUGGGUUCGAUUACGAGCUCUAUAAUCGUAACGAUAUUAACAGGAUUUUGGGUCCUAAGGCUUCUUGCAUUUCCUUCAAGGACUCUGCUUGUCGCUGCUUUGGGUAUAUGGUUUCUAAGAAGAAGUAUAUCUUUACCAUUGACGAUGAUUGCUUUAUUGUUAAAGUAACCAUAAUCCUGACUUUAGACAGCAAUAAAAUACUUUAGUUAAUGGCCAAUUCUCUCGAUAGAGACCUAUAAUAUCAAGAAGAUGGCAACGUCUCCUGAAAUGAUGUGCUGCUUCUGCCCUGCACCACUAAAACAAUUUCUUGAAAUUGUGAUUAACAUGAAAUUUGAUGAAGAGCCUAACUAUUUCAAGCAAAUCUCCCUGUUCGAGGGACUGAUUGGACCAAAUCCUGCUAUAAGGCCAAUAAACACUGAUGGUGCUCAAAAGGUGAU